UUACGGCCCUAUCACAUUGAUACACCAGUUCCCGUACGAUCACCGAAGUUAAGCAACGUCGAGCUGGUCAGUACCUAGAUGGAUGACCACUUGCGAAUACUAGUUGUUGUAAG